rnacentral:sRNA from 1 species
GCCCCACUCAUUUGGGGAGUAGCCUUCCUUCAUCAAGAAGGAGGAUGUGUCAACAUACUCAGCAAGUUGCUGUGGCACAUCCGUCGAUCAGAUUGGC